AGUGAACGCUGGCGGUAGGCCUAACACAUGCAAGUCGAACGGCAACACAGUACGAGCUUGCUCCUACGGGCGGCGGGUGGCGGACGGGUGCGGAAUGUACCGGAUCCUACUUUUUAGCUGGGGAUAACGUUGGGUAAUUUCCGCUACUAUCGCUUACGGCCUGCGGGUGACAGCAGGGCAUCUUCGGACCUUGCGCGCUUGUAUCAGCCGAUGUCGGAUUAGCUAGUUGGCGGGGUAAAGGCUCACCAAGGCGACGAUCCGUAGCUGGUCUGAGAGGAUGAUCAGCCACACUGGAACUGAGACACGGCCCAGACUCCUACGGGAGGCAGCAGUGGGGAAUAUUGGACAAUGGGCGCAAGCCUGAUCCAGCCAUGCCGCGUGGGUGAAGAAGGCCUUCGGGUUGUAAAGCGCUUUUGUUCGGAAAGAAAAGCAGCAGGUUAAUACCCCGCUGUAAUGACGGUACCCAAAGAAUAAGCACCGGCUAACUACGUG
rnacentral:rRNA from 1 species